CUCUCCUGAGGCUCUCAGGUCCUCAGGACAGGAAAAAUCCUAGCAGAGGAUUUUUCAUAAAAUAUCAUGGCUACAAGAAGACAAGAGGGCUUCUGAGACCAGAAAAUAUGUAACCAAUGCAAGUGUUAAGAUCUGUCUCUGAGCGAAUUUAGAAGCAGUCUCCCUGGAUCAGAAGCCACAGUCCAGCAGACGGCUUUGGAUACUAUUUGGAAUGCUUUCCCUUGGUCCUCUGUAUUUCACCAUGACUUUCCACUCUAUCUGUGUUACACAGCCACCUGGCAUGGCUUGGCACUUAAAGGCUGAUGAGAUAAGGGGACUAGAAUUUCCAAACUGAGGGUUACAUCUUGAACUUGGUUGGCAACAAAGCAGUAAUUUCCAUGUGAAAAACAACAGCAACCCCAGGGAUUUUGAGGAAACAGACAUAAAACCCUAUGUUUUGUGGAACCUACAACAAUCACUUCUCUUCAGCUUUAAAUAUUACACAGAAAAGUCAAGAUUAAUUUUGUCUUCUCCAACAGUACUUGGAGCAUACCUGAUCUGGCUUUCUCAAUCUCCUGGAGAAGCAAAAGUAGCAGACACAGGACAAUUUUUCACAGACCACUUCUAAAACUGAAAUAUGUCAAAAUAACAUGAAAAUAAACAGCUGAAAUUAUUGAGAAGGAUUAUAGACAAUAUAAAUACUAUACUCCCCUCACUGUGCAGUUUUUGCCUAGCUGUAAUUUAUUUCAUUUGUCCUAAAUUGAUCUCUUCCAUAAUUUAAGUUUUGACUUUUCAGAUCAUAAGAUUUUAGGGUAAAUAGGUAAUUACUGCAGGAGUCCUUUCUGAAGAUAUUUAGAUUUUUUUUUUUAUCAUCUGUUUUUGUGGGUAUGCAGGUAUAUCAACAAGAUAUGCUUUUCAAUACCAAGUAUGUAGAAACAUCAUGAUUAAUGAAAUUCAGAGUACAAUUAAAAAUGCCAAUGUGUAUUUCUUCAAUUUGUCAGCGUGUUCAUGAAGAAUAUCUGCAUGAAGAAUUCCUGCAGUUUCUGUCACUGUACACCUGGCACCUGUACAGCUGGGCAUCUGCUGCAAGUCUUGGAGACGUUUUACUGUCUCAGAAGACCAACAGAAGUCAUCAUCAUUGCUUUAAGUCCCUCAGUAGUCAGCAGUCCUUCAAAGAAAAGAGCACUACUCUUGGCUUGCCUUCGUCUCCCUACCAGCUGACUUAUGCUGCUCUUCCUAGUGCAUACUUGUGCAACCCUAGCAGUUUGAGCUCACACUUGCUGUCGUUCAGACAUACUCCUUUACUACAGGCUGAGAAUCAACAGUAUGGGUGGAUUUUGAAGGGGCCAAUGAAGAUCAUCUAGUCCAACCCCCUUUCUCAAACAGGAUUACUAGAGAAAGUUGUACAGAAUC